GUCUUGGUGGCUCAGAUGGUAGACUGUAGUACUGGUGAUCCAGUGGUCGUGGGUUCAAGUCCCACCCAAGACA